AUGUGUUUUGUGCCAAUGGAUCAUAAUGUGUGUUUAUGAAAGAAUAUGUGCUGGAGAGCAAAUGUCAAGUUCAAACAGAAAAUACCACAGAUCCUAAUUUUCUUAAGAUGUUUAGGGCUGUUAUUUAUUUGUUGAUUGUCUUGUUUGCAUGCAAGCUCUCUUUGCUUCUUAAGUCACGCUGCCAGCUGUUUAUAUGCACAGCAAUCACCCAGUAUGACAUCAUCACUGAUCACGCAGUUGAGAGUAUUGCGGGUUCCACCCAGUGUUGCAGGCUGAGCUUGUAAUUUCUCAGAACUAACUAAUGAUUCCCUUCUAUGUCCUUCAUUUUAUAUAUCCCUGGUGCUUCUUCCCAAAUAGCAUUUUUUAAUUGUUAAUCUGCUUCUUCUUCCCUAGACAGACGGCAUGUUUGUGCAGGGUGGAGGCUUCAGCAUCAUUCUUAUUAGCAAACUGUCAGAAAGCAAUUAAAACAAGUAUUUUCAGCUUUUAAAACAAGUAUUUGUCUGCCUGUGUCUGCAUGCGUGUCCAUGUACCAGUAGGAGUCCCUUUGCGAGCAUGCGUGUUUGUGCGCAUACAUUGGUGCCUGUGUGUUUUUCUCCCCAGGCUGGAGCAGCAGGUUCGGGAUAAGGAGAUUCUGGAGAGGGAGCUGUACUCGCGUUUUGUCAUGGUGCUGAACGAGAAGAAGGCCAAGAUCAGAGGCCUAAACGAUGUUCUUCGCCAGCUCCAACAGAUCGAUGACCAGCAGAGAGACGAGGACGGGAGACGAGGUGACAAUGACACAACUCAUGGUGAAGAUGACAGCCAGGACAGAAGAGAUGAAACAGUUCAGAGCAUCCAUCCAUCACAGGAGCAAACUAUCCUCAUCACAGGUCGCAAUCUGGUGUGCCAGGGUAUCUCUGUGGACCGGACUUUUUCUGAUGAUGAAGAUGAACAGCCGAGACGGAAGCGGAGGUUGCUUCACACCCUAAGCCCAGACUCAUCUGAGUAGGAAUAAAACGGCAGAUCCAUCCAGGACUCAUCAUGAACAGGAAUAAAUCCCUAAACCUACGGCUUUCAUGAUGAACAGGUUUUCUUGAGCCAUAUCCAGUUAUGUGGGAAGCUGCUUUCAGCAACCCUCACCUCGAUACACACAACCAAAACAAUGACAACCAGGCAACAGUGUCCUGGAGGUGUCCCCAGAUUUGGUGCCAGAUUUUGUCCCAGAUAGUGAAAGCAAUUUUCAGAAAGCCAGAGCAUGUUACUGCCAUCUGGUUUGCUUUAACUGUGACAAUUACCUGCCACAGCCCUCAUGAGAGACUUGCUGCUUGUCUCUAGUCAGUAAAUCAAGAGAUGAACAAGUAGUGACGCUAUCUUUUCCCAAACAGUCCAGACUGCGUGCUCGAUUUGGUGCUGCCGUCAAGACUUUGCCCAGAUGCGUUAGUGGCCCAUUGAUAGCAGGGACUUAACGCCCUCGAGUGCUUCCUCAGGAACUGAUGGCGUUGCUGCUAAUGACUUGGAGCACAUGGUAGAGAAUCUGGACCAGGAGUAUGGAAGCAAUUUCUCUCAAGAGGUCGCCCUGAGCUUGAAUUUGGCUGCCGAGCCCCUUGGCCUUGGCUCUGUGUGAGAUCGGAGAAAGAGUAACAACUACUGAGGGACAACAGGCAACACCCAGAAAACAGGGUGUCACCAACAAGGCACCGAAGCUGCUUUGUUGCUGCUUAUUCAUCAUGUCUUGCUGAUGUUUUCCUCCCUCUUUUCAUUAUGAAAAUAAACUAUAUGCCACCUCUUUCAUUUCCCUUUUCUAACCUAGCAUUUUGCGAACAAUAAUUUGACCUCCCCCGUUUUUCUCAUUUUCAUUUGCCUUUUUAUUCCGUAGAUGGUCUGUGGCCCAAACUACCUGAGGGGUGUUUUGCAGAGGGUUAAUAGGGUUAUGUUGUCUCUCACCGUCUUCACCUCCUCACCUCUAUCUUUUACCUCGGCUACCAGCUUGAGGUCCUGAGGUCAUCACAGUGUGUCUUCACACUGACACUAAUGAACCUAUGGAGAUCUGCUCAGGGUCUUUAUCUGACCAUUCUACCUUUGACUUUCGGACCUUCCUGCUGUCUUUUAUGGUUCUGAUGAUACCUAUAUGUCUGCUGAAGACCACGGGUAGCCGCCAAGAUAAUCCCAUAACACGUGCUUGCUGGUUUAGUAAUCCCCACAGGAAUGUCACACUCUCUCCUCUGCAUCCCAUCAAUAAGGCAUUGUAUAAAGGGCUGUGCGAUGGAGGAUGAGACAAAGUGUAAAAGAUUAGGAGACUAUACUGAAUAUUUCAGUCAUUUAGAAUAUUACGAUACCAUGCUUUGUUAAUUGUUGUUUCCUUAUUUUGAAUAGAACCGGUGGUAAUUAAAUACAUUCUAAAUGUUUCUAUUUGUAUUUUAUUUUAUUUUUUUAUACAUGAAGGAGAAAGUCAUAUUUUAAUAUGUGAAGUAUUGUAAAUGUGAUUCAGAUGUGAUCUGGGUAAAUGUCUGUAAAAUGUGUUAAUUUCAACCUGACUUGAAUAAACAUUUUUUCCAUUUCAGCAUUUUCUAAAUCAUAUGCCAUUGCCCAAAAUACAACAUACAGCUGUGAGGAGCAUCCAUUUUGUGAGUAAGAGUAGUCAAAUAAAUAAAGUUGAAUAAUAUUAUGAAUAUUCACUAAAGAAUGCAGGUGUUCACGGUAUAGACAAAAGAAUAUGUGCAAUGUGUGAAAACAAUAAUGUGCAUGUGGAGAAUAUGUUAAUAUAAUGUGUAGUGUCCUUAAGAGUCUGUGUCAGUGGGCGGAAUCAGGCCUUUCUGAUGAGACCAGCUACAGUCAACAAGAAAUACCACUAGCUAUAUACUACUUAUACUUGCAUAUAACAUGCAAGCUUCAGGAAAUUUUGACCAAUCAACAAUUAUGUUUAAAAAUUGGUAAAUGUUUAACUUUUUGGCUGUUGUCACAAGUUUCGCUGUUAUUGAUGUACGAAUUCCUAAUAAUCUAUAGAUUUUAGUUAGCACUGGAUAGCAUAUGGUACAAAACCCUGAAGUUACAACCACAUGGCCUUCUAGCAAGGGCACUCUAGCUCAACAGGCUACACAUCAGCCCGUGCAGCUGAAAGGGUUUGUGAGGGAGCGAUGAUGGCUGUGCCAGGUUGAAAUUAAACGUUCAGUCACUUGCUUAUCAUCGUCAUUCACUUACUGCGUGCACCUGUAGGAUUCCCAUCAUCCAGGGAAAUGACAGGAGUCUUCCUGCUUUCCCGCCACAGAGCUGCAAUGAGACAGAGUGGUCUUUGUUAGGCUGUGCUCUGCUCUCCCUGCUCUCCAGCUCGUUCUAUAAUGUGUGAAACGGCCUGGCUUUAAACAAGCAAUGUUUGAAAACUGAAGAUGACAACUUAUUUGUGAAUAUAUAAUGAAAUACACUGUUAAGAGUAACAAGUUUACUCAUCUUUCAGACGUAUUGGACUGAUUGGUGUAUGCUUUCCCCUUCUGAUUAUUGCCUUAUAGCUGGCUUGCUGUUUGAAUCAACCAAAUUUUGUGAUUCAGUAAAAUUGCAUUGGCCAAUAAAAAAUUGUGAAAUACUUCAUCUGUCUUUUUUUUCUGACUCGGUUUUAUUGGGCCAACCGUGUCAGACUGCAUUACCUGUUACUCCUUUUGCUCACAGUGGGUAGUACUGCUGUUUCUGCUGGAAGCGGCACACAUAUGGAAGUAAAGCAGUGGGCAGGCUGUUUUAAACUGAAGGAGUAUAUUUCAGGGCAAUACAAAACCAGCAGUGAGCCUUCCUGCUGGGCCACUUUGAAUUAAACGUGUAAGCUUCUGCUUUGUGUGUAAACUGUAUGUGUGAGACCAGAGAUGCAGUCUAUACAUAUACCCAGACUAUUGCUGUCAUUAUAUACAAUAUGUCCAGAUGCUGAACAAAUAGCAACAGUAUAUUGCAACUAUAGACUUUCUCUAGCUGCAGAACCAAAAACAAAUCUCCACUCCACAUUUAAUGCUGACUUGUCCUCCAGUCAUGGGGUCUUUUCUGGUCUACAAGUUUUGCCAGUGGCAAAGAGUAUCUGCUUUGUUUCAACCCAGUCAUUAAAACAGCCUUUUGAUCAGUACAAAUAACGAGUGGUUUCUCUUUGAGAUGCUGGUGUGAAGUGAUUUGCCUCAUUAUUUGAAUUAAAAUGAAUGUUCUGCCGGUUUCAAGAGAAUGGUAGUUGAACAUUAAGUGUGUGAUAAUGACAACCUGCUGCAGUGUUUGCUCGAGGGAGACUUUCUCUUUUUUUACACUUGAAGCAGUUUGUAACUGUAAGAAAG
rnacentral:lncRNA from 15 species